rnacentral:rRNA from 1 species
AUUGAACGCUGGCGGCAUGCUUUACACAUGCAAGUCGAACGGCAGCGCGGGGCAACCUGGCGGCGAGUGGCGAACGGGUGAGUAAUAUAUCGGAACGUACCCAGAAGUGGGGGAUAACGUAGCGAAAGUUACGCUAAUACCGCAUACGAUCUACGGAUGAAAGUGGGGGACCUUCGGGCCUCAUGCUUUUGGAGCGGCCGAUAUCUGAUUAGCUAGUUGGUGAGGUAAAGGCUCACCAAGGCGACGAUCAGUAGCUGGUCUGAGAGGACGACCAGCCACACUGGGACUGAGACACGGCCCAGACUCCUACGGGAGGCAGCAGUGGGGAAUUUUGGACAAUGGGGGGCAACCCUGAUCCAGCAAUGCCGCGUGAGUGAAGAAGGCCUCGGUUGUAAG